CGGCGUGCUUAACACAUGCAAGUCGAACGGAAAGGCCCUGCUUUUGUGGGGUGCUCGAGUGGCGAACGGGUGAGUAACACGUGAGUAACCUGCCCUUGACUUUGGGAUAACUUCAGGAAACUGGGGCUAAUACCGGAUAGGAGCUCCUGCUGCAUGGUGGGGGUUGGAAAGUUUCGGCGGUUGGGGAUGGACUCGCGGCUUAUCAGCUUGUUGGUGGGGUAGUGGCUUACCAAGGCUUUGACGGGUAGCCGGCCUGAGAGGGUGACCGGCCACAUUGGGACUGAGAUACGGCCCAGACUCCUACGGGAGGCAGCAGUGGGGAAUAUUGCACAAUGGGCGGAAGCCUGAUGCAGCAACGCCGCGUGCGGGAUGACGGCCUUCGGGUUGUAAACCGCUUUCGCCUGUGACGAAGCGUGAGUGACGGUAAUGGGUAAAGAAGCACCGGCUAACUACGUGCCAGCAGCCGCGGUGAUACGUAGGGUGCGAGCGUUGUCCGGAUUUAUUGGGUGUAAAGGGCUCGUAGGUGGUUGAUCGCGUCGGAAGUGUAAUCUUGGGGCUUAACCCUGAGCGUGCUUUCGAUACGGGUUGACUUGAGGAAGGUAGGGGAGAAUGGAAUUCCUGGUGGAGCGGUGGAAUGCGCAGAUAUCAGGAGGAACACCAGUGGCGAAGGCGGUUCUCUGGGCCUUUCCUGACGCUGAGGAGCGAAAGCGUGGGGAGCGAACAGGCUUAGAUACCCUGGUAGUCCACGCUGUAAACGGUGGGUACUAGGUGUGGGGUCCAUUCCACGGGUUCCGUGCCGUAGCUAACGCUUUAAGUACCCCGCCUGGGGAGUACGGCCGCAAGGCUAAAACUCAAAGGAAUUGACGGGGCCCCGCACAAGCGGCGGAGCAUGCGGAUUAAUUCGAUGCAACGCGUAGAACCUUACCUGGGUUUGACAUGGAUCGGGAGUGCUCAGAGAUGGGUGUGCCUCUUUUGGGGUCGGUUCACAGGUGGUGCAUGGCUGUCGUCAGCUCGUGUCGUGAGAUGUUGGGUUAAGUCCCGCAACGAGCGCAACCCUUGUUCACUGUUGCCAGCACGUUAUGGUGGGGACUCAGUGGAGACCGCCGGGGUCAACUCGGAGGAAGGUGGGGAUGACGUCAAGUCAUCAUGCCCCUUAUGUCCAGGGCUUCACGCAUGCUACAAUGGCUGGUACAGAGAGUGGCGAGCCUGUGAGGGUGAGCGAAUCUCGGAAAGCCGGUCUCAGUUCGGAUUGGGGUCUGCAACUCGACCUCAUGAAGUCGGAGUCGCUAGUAAUCGCAGAUCAGCAACGCUGCGGUGAAUACGUUCCCGGGGCUUGUACACACCGCCCGUCAAGUCAUGAAAGUUGGUAACACCCGAAGCCGGUGGCCUAACCGAUGUGGGGGAGCCGUCGAAGGUGGGACUGGUGAUU
rnacentral:rRNA from 1 species